AGAGUUUGAUCAUGGCUCAGGACGAACGCUGGCGGCGUGCCUAACACAUGCAAGUCGAGCGAGGAAUGUCGGAUAGCUUGCUAUUUGAUAUUUCUAGCGGCGGACGGGUGAGUAACGCGUGAGCAACCUGCCUUUAUCAGGGGGAUAACGCAUCGAAAGAUGUGCUAAUACCGCGUAAGACCACAGCCUCACAUGGGGCAGAGGUCAAAGGAGCAAUCCGGAUAAAGAUGGGCUCGCGUCCGAUUAGCUAGUUGGUGAGAUAACAGCCCACCAAGGCGACGAUCGGUAGCCGACCUGAGAGGGUGAUCGGCCACAUUGGAACUGAGAGACGGUCCAGACUCCUACGGGAGGCAGCA
rnacentral:rRNA from 1 species